rnacentral:rRNA from 1 species
UUGACCUCGGAUCAGGUAGGGAUACCCGCUGAACUUAAGCAUAUCAAUAAGCGGAGGAAAAGAAACCAACAGGGAUUGCCUCAGUAACGGCGAGUGAAGCGGCAAAAGCUCAAAUUUUAAAGCUGACAUCUUCGGUGUCCGCGUUGUAAUUUUGUGAGGCAUCUCCGGGUAGGGCGCUGGCCUAAGUUCCUUGGAACAGGACGUCACAGAGGGUGAGAAUCCCGUGCUUGGCUGGCUGUCCCCGUCCAUGUGAGGUGUCUUCGACGAGUCGAGUUGUUUGGGAAUGCAGCUCAAAAUGGGUGGUAAAUUUCAUCUAAAGCUAAAUAUUGGUGGGAGACCGAUAGCGCACAAGUAGAGUGAUCGAAAGAUGAAAAGCACUUUGAAAAUAGAGUUAAAAAGUACGUGAAAUUGUUGAAAGGGAAGCGCUUGAGACCAGACUUCGGUAAGGGGUGAUCAGCCGUCCUUUUGGGCGGUGCACUUGCCCCCCUCCGGGCCAGCAUCGGUUGAGGCGGCGGGAUAAAGGUCCCGGGAAUGUGGCUCCUUCACGGGAGUGUUAUAGCCCGGGUGAAUGCCGCCAGCUUCGACCGAGGACCGCACCCGC